rnacentral:sRNA from 1 species
AAUUUGCGAAAGCGAUUGGAAUGGCAUCCUUUUUAUGCUGAAAACGAAAUUAAAUUUCUGGCUAAAAUCAAAUGCACCAUAAAAAGAUACAAUGGAAAGCGCGGUUUUGU